AGAUGUGGCUCGUGUACAGGCUCUCGUACUCCCUGUCAAAGAGAGGAGGGCACAGAGUUACACCAGCCCCUCUGACACAGGCUCAGUUAUGGUUGCAAGUAACUGCCUUCGUUCUCCUACUUUGUACAGAUGCCAAAGCAAUCGUUUCAUGUCCCUCAACAAGGCCAAAUGGGGCAUCAGUUGCCAGGUGGGAAGUACAGGCUCAGAUCUGCUGUGGAGAGAGUCCAUUCAAGUGGGACACCAAGCCAGAUCUGUGAGUCCACCCUGGAAAGACUGCAGGCCCCUGAGCCAGUCUGGGACACAAGUAUGCCCAGAGUGUGCCCAGACACAGUGUGCCCAGAGUAGGCACACAGUGGGACUAUGAUUUGUAGAGAAUGAAAGAGGCCUAUGAAGCUGAACCUGCUCAUAAGGACUUUGGGCAGUCACAAAGCCAAAAACUUCAUCCUCACAUGUCACCCAAAGAGUUGGAGGGUCAUCCAUGUCAGAAGAUAAACCGCUGGAAGAACAGACCAAUUUCCUAUAGAGCUCUAUUUGUAUUUACCUCCGAAAAUCAACUUACCGAAGAUUCACUAUCACGAAUGAGGAAAUCCCCUUCAUGUCCUCUUUCAUUUAAUGCCAUUUCUGCUUGAUGCCUGGUGACUUUGCCAUAAUACCAAGGAUUGCCAGCAAACUUUCCAGUGAGUGAAGGCCUAAUGUAAUCACACUGUGGAGGCGAUGGUUCCAAACCUGAAGUUAAUGGAUUAUUCUGCAUAACGGUAACAUAGUUUUUUGGUACUAGACCAACCAUACCAUUGAUCUUCCUGCAUUUCCACCACUCUGGGUCAUUUUCAGGUUUUUCAAUAACAUCCAUUACAUCUCCUUUCUCGAAA